GAACUGAGUCUGCUGGAGAUUUCAGUCGGACCUCUGAGAACUAUGGGAAUUACUAGGAAGAGACGUGUGGUCCUGCCAUCAGGAGAAUAUUCUCCAUGAUCAUGGAAAAUGUGUGUGUAUGUAUGCAAUAGAAUAAGACAAAGCAAAAACUAGAAUGUUGAAGUGGAAUGUGGCAAUCCAGCAGGAGGUAGGGGUCCAUGAGCAGACCUAAGAGUCAGAGACCUACUUAUUCUCACUGUCAGGACUCUCAUAAAAGUAGUAAGCUAAUAACUAUAGUAUACAUUAAGAGGACCUGGUACUGACUCAUGUAGAUCCUGUGCUUGCUUGCUGCUUCAGUCUCGGGCCUGUGUAUUCUAGCUUUAUGGACUUCUCCAGAAGCAUUCUGAUGGCUGCUGCUAGAAUCCUGAAUUUAGGAAGGAUGUGGUCAGAAGAUGAUGAUUUAUGGUGCUGAAGAUGGAUUCACAAGUUCACAAGUAACGCAGAUGCCAUUGGGAGCAAGAGAGCAUCUCCGGAGAAGGUUCAGCCCAAGGAAAAGAGAAAAAAGUGAGAUCUGCUUUCUCCCAGCCAUAAAUGAGAUUUUGAGAGCAGGAAGCAGGCAAUGACCUGUCGUUCUGAUAAAAAUUCACUCAGGGAGCGGCUUACUGUCAUAUUCCAGUAAGUUUGCCUGGAGGAUGUCUGUGUUUGAACUUAUACGAUGCCUUCAGCCUCCUCUUAGUUAUGUGACAUCUGUGCUCGGGUGGCUUUGCAAGCCAGGAAGUUGCCUCAUCAUUGGAGAACUGGGUUCUGUAUAUGGACAGUCAAGCCUUAGUCAAAAUAGAAAUAAACUCUCUGUUUAUAUACACACUGUAAAGAGAGUCCUGAGAACAAUACCUGCGAUUCAGUACCAUAUUGUAAGCUUGGGCACUCAGAAGGCCAGCCUGAACUAUGCCCCCACCUCUAAUGAAAGGGAACGACACAGAGAAGAGCUGCAUGCUUUUAUAUGGCUGCUUAUGA
rnacentral:lncRNA from 1 species